GACGAACGCUGGCGGCGUGCUUAACACAUGCAAGUCGAACGGAAAGGCCCUGCUUUUGUGGGGUGCUCGAGUGGCGAACGGGUGAGUAACACGUGGUUAACCUGCCCUUGACUUUGGGAUAACUUCAGGAAACUGGGGCUAAUCCCGGAUAGGAGCUCCUGCUGCAGGGUGGGGGUUGGAAAGUUUCGGCGGUUGGGGAUGGACUCGCGGCUUAUCAGCUUGUUGGUGGGGUAGUGGCUUACCAAGGCUUUGACGGGUAGCCGGCCUGAGAGGGUGACCGGCCACAUUGGGACUGAGAUACGGCCCAGACUCCUACGGGAGGCAGCAGUGGGGAAUAUUGCACAAUGGGCGGAAGCCUGAUGCAGCAACGCCGCGUGCGGGAUGACGGCCUUCGGGUUGUAAACCGCUUUCGCCUGUGACGAAGCGUGAGUGACGGUAAUGGGGAAAGAAGCACCGGCUAACUACGU
rnacentral:rRNA from 1 species